GAAAUGCGAUAAUUAAUGUGAAUUGCAGAAUUCAGUGAAUCAUCGAGUCUUUGAACGCACAUUGUGCCCCCUGGUAUUCCGGGGGGCAUGCCUGUCCGAGCGUCAUUGCUGCCCUCAAGCACGGCUUGUGUGAUGGGCCCUCCCGCGUCUUGGUCGUCAAGACGGGCCCGAAAUGCAGUGGCGGCUUCGCGGUUAUCCGAUCAGCCAGAGCGUAUGGGGACUCUCUCUCUUGUCACACGCCCGCGGUGCGGACCGACGCCUGUCGACCUUUAUUCAUCUUCUCUCGGUUGACCUCGGAUCAGGUAGGGAUACCCGCUGAACUUAAGC
rnacentral:misc_RNA from 1 species